GGGCUAUUGAAUUGAAUACAGGGCAGCCUAACAUUAAAAUUUAACCAGGCUAUUAUCCAAAGUGGGAAUCAAGAGUUGACCGAACUUUCCUGAAACUUGAUCAGGUCAAUCUUUAAAGAGCAGCCUUUCUUGGAAAAAUAAAGGGGAGCGGGGAGGGACUCAAGUCAUCAGCAAAAUAAAUGGUAGCCCCCAGAUUUUAGAGCUUAGCCAAGGGUUUGUCCAUCUGCAAAACAAGGUCUGGCACUACACCCCCACAGAAGAACAAAUUGCACAGCUUAUGGUUCAGAAGGCUGCACAGGAAGAGAUAGUACUCUCCAUUUACCAAAUGUUUUCUGACUCUUUCCGCUAAUCGGGAAUCUCCAUUAGAAAGUGACACCAGGUGUGUGUCACUGAGGUUCACCCACUCUCAGGCCUGCUGGUGCCUCCCAGACCCUUUGAUCCUCUGCUCCCAUUGUCUCCUGAAACCAAUCCUUUCCAUUUUGUAUUUUUCCUCCUAGAUCACCUGAUACUUCCAAGCAAGCAGGUGUUCUUUUCAGAAGCCAGAAGCUGAUAACCUGGGCUUUCUGAUCUAACCCCAGCCCAAAUUCAUUGCAAUGGAGGAAUUGGGGAGGAGAUUCUUCCUACUGAGAAGUGGGUGCCAACUCUCCCUUUCAAAUUUGUUCAUCAACAAACUAAAGGGGAUGCCAGAAAUGUCUGGAGCAAUGGAAGAACCACUGGAAUAAUGCUCCUGCCUGAUUGUAUCUACUUAACCCACUCUCCAAGAGCCAGAAUCAGAUUUCAACCGUAUGGAAUCAUCUACAAUGCAGCAGAUGGGUUUACAAGUCUCUUGGUCUCUUCAUGAAGAAGGCGCAGCAAUCGUGUCCCAAGUCCUUGAGGACUUCACAGGGUGUUCUAGUGUCCUGAGAAUAUACCUGCCUAAGGGACUCAUCAUUAAAAAGGAACAAAGAGGCCCUAACCCAACCUCAAAGAGAAGGAAAAGGACCUUUUUCUAAAUGGAAGAAUUCUUUUGUAAGAAACGAGGAAGAGUUAGAACAAGCAUCUGCAUAGCCUGGGAAGGGCCACUCUCUCCCAAGGCAUGCUGCCGCUUGCCUCUGAUGUCUGGACGCAAACAGCAGAUCCUCAAUCUGCUCCAGGGUGUUAGUGCCAACCCUGACCUAGUGAGCUUACUCCUUUCUCUUGGGCUUAGGCACAUCUUGAAAGGGGAGAUAGGGAUGACUCUGUGCAUCAGUCCCUCUGUCUGGUCCAGUGGACCUUGUCCUUAUGAUGGCCUGUGAAAAGAUCUUAGUUUCUGAGCAGUUAUGCAAGUUGCUCAAAGCCUUUGAGAUGUCCCCCAGAAGCUGAGUGUAGAAGCAGUUCCACCACCCAGCCUGCAUUAUCUACACAAGACAAUUAGGCAGGGCUCUGGGAACACUCUAAGGGCCAGGGAUUAGGGAGAGAAUCAACCUUGCAGCGCCACCGGUUUGGGGAGGUCAUCACCACACUGCCCUGCCUCUAUCUAAGGAGUGUCUGAGCCCUGGAAAAGCCGCACUCAUGGCUGUCCUGUGGAAUCCUGGAAAACACCAUCCAAACAGGAGAAAAAGCCUGAAAUGAGGGAGAGAGGUUUCCCUUCAGCCCUCUGAGGAAAGUAGAACACAGAAACCCUGGACUGAAGGGGCCCCCAAGUUGGCCUGUGCUAUCCCCAACUGCUCCUCUCUGGAUGCUUCCCACCCUUAGAUUAAACCUUGCUUAUUGACCCCAUAGAGGCUUCAUGUUCUCUCCCGGCUCCUCCCAAAUUGCCCACUGGAAUGUACGUGAUGAGGUCAUUUGUAGUAAGCUACAACUUUUGUGGUUACCCCUGGCAGGGCUAUUUAUACCAUGAUAGGAAAUAAAGUCUGUG
rnacentral:lncRNA from 1 species